rnacentral:rRNA from 1 species
AUUUAUGGAGAGUUUGAUCCUGGCUCAGGACGAACGCUGGCGGCGUGCUUAACACAUGCAAGUCGAACGGAGUAUUAGCGAGAAGUUUACUUUUUGCUAAAACUUAGUGGCGGACGGGUGAGUAACGCGUGGAUAACCUGCCUAUUAGCCUGGGAUAACGCCUGGAAACGGGUGCUAAUACCGGAUACGCUCAUUGUGCUGCAUAACAUAAUGAGGAAAAGGCUACUGCUAAUAGAUGGGUCCGCGUCCCAUUAGCUUGUUGGUAGGGUAACGGCCUACCAAGGCGACGAUGGGUAGCCGGCCUGAGAGGGCGAUCGGCCACACUGGAACUGAGACACGGUCCAGACUCCUACGGGAGGCAGCAGUGGGGAAUCUUCCGCAAUGGGCGAAAGCCUGACGGAGCAACGCCGCGUGA